rnacentral:lncRNA from 1 species
UCUUUCUCUUUAUAAAUUACCCAGUCUUGAGUAUGUCUUUAUCAGCAGUGUAAAAACGGAUGAACAUACACCGUAAAUGUGACUUUUAUCAUUCAUUUAAGCAUCCUGUUUAUAAAAAUGUAAAUAAUCCAUUUUCACAUAUGCUGUGUUUUCGAUAAAAUAACUUGCUUAAAUCCAAUCCUGGCAUCAUAGAUAAUUUAAGCCAUGGUUUUCUGAUCCCGUCCUCUUUUGUGACUCCAGUCCCACAGACAGGAACCAAAGCCAGCAGAACAAAGCAGCCCCAGAUGUGUUCUACUCUAUUAUCUGAAGUAAAUGAAAAUCAACCCUGAGAAAUAUCAAUAAUAGUGGAAAGUCUCCCACUCUACUUCUACAUAUAUCCUAGUACUGUGUGUGUCAAUCUCAUAUUCUACUGUUGGCCAUGCUGUGUUUCACUGAGAAAAUGGCAAUACUGGUGCUGCUUAUAUAUAAGGUAGGAUUCCCCUCUCACAGAUAGCCACAGCUUUCUUUAAAAGAAGGUACAUUUCCCGAGGAUUAAUCAUUAGGGAAAUUAUUGGUUUCUCCAUUAGCCAGAGUUGUGCAUCACCAGCAACAGAAACCAGCUAUAGCUGACUUAAAGGGAAAAGAAACAUAAAUAUUGGAUAGCUCACAAUAUCAUAAAGAUGACUGAAGAGAUGGUGAGAGAAACAUAAACUAUUUGUAAAUUCUACUCAUUUCCUCCAUAAAAGGGAAUGCAAAAUGUCAUUGAUUUGGGUUAGUUGUACUUCCUAUAUUACAUAAGUAUCACGAUUUGGGGUGACUUUUUACAAGGAGAUAGCAUUAUUUAAUCGUUUUUGAUUUGGGGAGUUAAAAAAGUAUCUUUGCUUUUUGUGCUGGUAGGUGCAUUAUAGGGUCUAAAGUUUUUUUCCUACCUUCCUUCUCACAGGUAGAGAACCUCCUUCUACUACCAUCAAAGUCCUUGAUCUGUUUCCCAACAUGAAUUAACCUUUCCAUGUUUUCGUUACAUUUGAACAUCAGGAAUGUGUAGACGGAAGCAGUUCAUCCUGGGAGGACUUCAAGCAGUAGAAUGAGGCCAACCUGCAAAACUGACCUGUCAUGCCCUGCCUCACCAUCUUAUCCAGUCCUGGACUCAACCAGCUGAACUAAUCCCUAAACCACCAAGUCUACCUUAGAAAAACAGUUCUGGAGGCUGCAAGUCCAAGAUCAAGGUGUCACCAUCAUUGGUUGCUUCUGGGGGCUGUUGAGAAAGAACGUGUUCCAUGCCUCCCACCUAGCAUCUAAAGAAGUGACAUCUUAUUGAUGAGUUGUGGAGAAGCUGCUGAACAUGCAUCUGUAUUUGGGAG